rnacentral:rRNA from 1 species
CAGCCGCCGCGGUAAUACGAAGGGUGCAAGCGUUACUCGGAAUUACUGGGCGUAAAGCGUGCGUAGGUGGUGGUUUAAGUCUGUUGUGAAAUCCCCGGGCUCAACCUGGGAAUAGCAAUGGAUACUGGCAAGCUAGAGUGUGUCAGAGGAUGGUGGAAUUCCCGGUGUAGCGGUGAAAUGCGUAGAGAUCGGGAGGAACAUCAGUGGCGAAGGCGGCCAUCUGGGACAACCCUGACGCUGAGGCACGAAAGCGUGGGGAGCAAACAGGAUUAGAUACCCCAGUAGUCCCUGUCUCUUAUAC